GGCCAUUGCGGACGGAGAUCGAUCUCGACCUCGUUGCCUUCGACCGUUUCUUCUCGAUCGAUCUCAUUCUGUGGGAUUAGCUGGAUCCGUCCCAAGAGACGCCGUUGAAGGCUCCGGCGCCGACGCAGACGUCGUCGUCCAACGGCCUCAUCCGGUGCCGCUCGCCGUCCGCACCGGAGCUCAGCCGCGUGCACUCCGAGAUCCCGGACAAGAUGAGGCGGGUGCGGCAGGGGAGCAUCCCCGACAUCAUCCAGCGCUACCGAGGCAUCGUCCUCGUCGUCGCGGUCCCUCUCUUCCUAAUGUGUUUUAUCCUAUUCGUCGUGUCCAGCACUCCUGGGAGCAUUUCCAGGAAGGCGAUUCCCGGAGGGCUUGCGGGAUCUAGGAGCUACGCUGUUAUAUUUGACGCGGGGAGUUCUGGGAGUAGGGUUCAUGUCUUCUGCUUUGAUAAAAAUUUGGAUCUACUGCAUAUAGAGAAAAAAUUGGAACUGUUUGAACAUAUAAAACCUGGAUUGAGUGCUUAUGCUAACGACCCUCAGCAGGCUGCAGAUUCACUUAUUCCUCUCUUGGAGAAAGCAGAGAGUGUUAUCCCAGAAGGAUUGAGACAUAAAACGCCUGUCAGAGUUGGGGCGACAGCAGGUCUUAGAGCUCUUGGAGAUGAAGCAUCUGAACAAAUUUUGCAAGCGGUUAGAGAAUUACUUCAACACAAGAGUUCAUUAAAAUUCCAGUCAGAUGGGGUAACUGUUCUUGAUGGAACCCAGGAAGGUGCUUAUCAAUGGGUUACUAUCAACUAUCUUUCAGGAAGACUUGGAAAGUCUUAUGCAGAUACAGUUGGUGUAGUUGAUUUGGGAGGUGGAUCUGUUCAAAUGGCUUAUGCCAUUUCAGAAGAAGACGCUAAACGGGCACCAAAAGUCUCAGAUGGAGAGGAUUCAUAUGUGCAGAAGUUGUUUCUUAAAGGAAGUCAUUAUUACUUAUAUGUCCACAGUUAUCUUCACUAUGGUUUGUUAGCUGCUCGUGCUGAGAUUCUGAAGAUUUCUGGUGAUGUCAGCAACUGUAUAUUGGGUGGCUAUGAUGGGUCGUACAAGUAUGGUGACGAGACAUACAAAGCAUCAGCUUCACCAUCCGGGGCUAGCUACUCCAAAUGCAAAGAUGAUGCAGUUAAGGCUCUCAGGGUUGGCGAACCGGCAUGCGCUAACAUGAAGUGUACAUUCCGUGGCAUCUGGAACGGGGGAGGUGGAGAUGGGCAGAAAAAUUUGUUUGUCGCAUCCUUUUUCUUUGACAGGGCUUCCGAGGCUGGUUUCAUAGACUCAAACAACCCAGUGGCAAAGGUCAAACCUGCAGAGUUCGAGGAGGCUGCAAAGCGAGCUUGCCAAUUGAGUAUCGAAGAUGCGAAGGCAGCCUAUCCUCGUGUUGCUACUGAUAACCUUCCCUAUCUUUGCAUGGAUCUCGUGUACCAGUAUGCCUUGCUGGUGGAUGGGUUUGAUGUAGACCCAAAUCUAUAUAUUACACUCGUGAAGCAGGUUCCAUAUGGCGACUCCUUUGUGGAGGCAGCAUGGCCUCUUGGUAGUGCCAUCGAAGUAGCCUCAUCGCCAUAACGAAAGCCCUAGUUUCAUGCAAUUGCAGCUCCAGAACCCCCAUCAGGAUUCUGGCUGCGAAGAAUCAAAGCUUCAGCAACAGCAGCAAAGGGCUUGGAAAUUACAAUUUUGCAUGGCGAUUCAUCAGCUUAUGCUCGUGUGGAGUUCUCGAACAAUAUAGAGAUUUCGACAAGCCUUGCGGUUGUGCCUGCUAGUUUCACAAGUAGUCCGAGGCAAAUUUAGUUGCGAGUGCUUCAUGAUAUUCUACUUCCUUGCUUGCAAUGGAAGCAGUGUCGAAUCC